rnacentral:sRNA from 1 species
GAUUACAGUGUCAAAAGUCCAAAUCCAUGACAUGCUUGCAUGUCAAUGGACGUAGGACUUUAUGACACGCCCCACAAUGAGGAUGAAGUGGGGCGAAGCCACAUGAGAAUCCGAAUUGUGGGUAGGAUUGUGGGAGCUGCCUGCAGCGAUACAAUCCG